rnacentral:lncRNA from 1 species
CCCAGAAAAAAACUUCAGUAGAAAAUUUCCUAAAGAUGCCUACUUAAGGAGGUCAAAUCUGCUGCCACACAUCACUUUUAUCUUUUGCUAAAAGUUAUAAUUUUUUUCUUUAAAAUUUCAAUUUUUUUACAUUUUAAUAUUUAAAAAUAUCAAACAAAUCAUUAGAUAAAAGCAAAAUUAACGUAUAGCAACAGAUCGUGGGCUCUUUACUAAAAUUUUCUUAUCUACUAUACGUGUUUAUUUUACCUCUAUUAAAAAAUUAUAAUCAUUCACUCUACAAUUUAUUUAUUUUUUUAUAAUUUAAGUAUUAAAAAAUACUCAACAAACUCUUAAAAAAUGUGCAUUUAAU